GGAAAAACAGAAGCUUUCGGUGUUCCCAGUCAGAGGCUUGGCCAACAAGCAGCUCUGGAGCAGAAGGCGGAAGCCCCUCCCCACUCAUCAGACUGUAACGGGGGCAAGAAUUUGGAGUUCUUUCCAGAUCCUUCUACACUCUCUGCUGUGAAACUCCUAUUUUAUCUGGACAUCCUCUGCGUGAGGUGGAUCAAGCCACUGAGAAGCAGUC